rnacentral:rRNA from 1 species
UUGAACGCUGGGGCAUGCCUUACACAUGCAAGUCGAACGGCAGCACGGGAGCAAUCCUGGUGGCGAGUGGCGAACGGGUGAGUAAUACAUCGGAACGUGCCCAAUCGUGGGGGAUAACGCAGCGAAAGCUGUGCUAAUACCGCAUAAGAUCUACGGAUGAAAGCAGGGGAUCGCAAGACCUUGCGCGAAUGGAGCGGCCGAUGGCAGAUUAGGUAGUUGGUGAGGUAAAGGCUCACCAAGCCUUCGAUCUGUAGCUG